rnacentral:rRNA from 1 species
CGCCGCGUGGAGGAUGAAAUAUCUUGGUGUGUAAACUCCUUUCGAUGGGGAAGAUUAUGACGGUACCCAUAGAAGAAGCCCCGGCUAACUUCGUGC